GCGGGAGGGACAAGGAUUGCGAUAUAAACCCAGGCCUUCCAGCAGGCAAUGGCAACCCCCUUUGGGUCCCCUCCCUUUAUAUGGGAGCUCUGUUUUCACCCUAUUAAAUCUUGCAACUGCACUUUUCUGGUCCAUGUUUGUUACAGCUUGAGCUGAGCUUUCGCUCGCCAUCCACCACUGCUGUUUGCCGUUGUGCCGGACCCGCCACUGACUUCUAUCCCUCCGGAUCCGGCAGGGUGUCUGCUGUGCUCCUGAUCCAGCGAGGCGCCCAUUGCUGCUCCCGAUCAGGCUAAAGGCUUGCCAUUGUUCCUGCACGGCUAAGUGCCUGGGUUCGUCCUAAUCGAGCUGAACACUAGUUACUGGGUUCCAUGGUUCUCUUCUGUGAUCCAUGGCUUCUAAUAGAGGUAUAACACUCACCUGGCAUGGCCCAGGAUUCCAUUCCUUGGGAUCCGUGAGGCCAAGAACCCCAGGUCAGAGAACACGAGGCUUGCCACCAUCUUGGAAGCGGCCCACCACCAUCUUGGAAGCUGCUAGCCACCAUCUUGGAAGUUCUGUGAACAAGGACCCCCGGUAACAUUUUGGCGACCACGAAGGGACCUCCAAAGUGUGUGGAAAUGGGCACCUUUGACUGAACCAUGUUUCUUGCUCGGUAUUGAAAAAUGACCUCAUUCCUUUAGUCUAUUCGAGCACAAAACUCGAAGACAGCUGCCUGGGAAACAAAAAUUCCAAAGAAUGGACAUCAAUGUUCCAAAGGGUAGAAGUUUGGACUCAUUUUAUUAGACAAGGUUUGGGAAAAUAUAUUUAACACUCCACACUGAAUAUUUAACAGUCAUGGUAUCUUUGCUCCAGCUGAUCUAAACACAGGACAAUAAAAGACAUGGUUAAUCUACAACAAAGAUGUGAACAACUGAUGAAUUUUGGUGUGCCUUUUUGUCUUUUAACUGCUGCUUUUGGCUCAGCACUAUGAAUACUUGACCCUGCUAUUCUUAAGAAUAAGCAAAGACUUUGAAGUAAAAAGCAUCAUGAAAGGUCAGGCUCACAUCAAAGUGUUUUUUCUUUCCUCCUCAGCAUCUUGGAUCCUCAAAUCUUGGCUGCUGUGGUAGCUGUCCAAUGCCUUCACAUAGAUUUUUUUUUUUACACCAGAUUUUUGUUUAUUUUGGUGGGAAGUUCUGCUAUAAGCUAGUUUGUCAUAGCCUGAAUUAGAAGUCCUUAACUUAUUUUUAUGUAUUUUUCCUGAAACUAAUUGGGGUGCAUAAUGAAUAUAAGUUUUGAUGUAUUUGUCUAUUUCAGCAUUAUGUUGCAAGCCUUUCUCAUGUCAUUACACAUUUUAGAAACCUAAUUUUUAAUACCUGUAUUAUAUUGCCUAUAUG
rnacentral:lncRNA from 10 species